UGGGGAAUAUUGCACAAUCGGCGCAAGCCCGUUGCAGCCAUGCCGCGUGUGUGAAUAAGGCCUUCGGGUUGUAAAGCACUUUCAGCGGGGAGGAAGGCGAUAAGGUUAAUAACCUCAUCGAUUGACGUCACCCGCAGAAGUAGCACCGGCUACCCCCGUGCCAGCAGCCGCGGUAAUACGGAGGGUGCAAGCGUUAAUCGGAAUUACUGGGCGUAAAGCGCACGCAGGCGGUCUGUCAAGUCGGAUGUGAAAUCCCCGGGGUCAACCUGGGAACUGCAUUCAAAAAUGGCAGGCUAGAGUCUUGUAGAGGGGGGUAGAAUUCCAGGUGUAGCGGUAAAAUGCGUAGAGGACUGGAGAAAUACCGGUGGAGAAGACGGCCCCCUGGACGAAGACUAACUCUAAGGUGCGAAAGCGGGGGGAGUAAACAGG
rnacentral:rRNA from 1 species